rnacentral:rRNA from 1 species
CCUAUGGGGGGCAGCAGUCGCGAAAACUUCGCAAUGGGGGCAACCCCGACGAGGGAAUUCCAAGUGCCAGCACUUUGUGUUGGCUGUUCUCCUGUCUAAAAAACAGGAGGAGUAAGGGGCGGGUAAGACGGGUGCCAGCCGCCGCGGUAAUACCCGCGCCCCUAGUGGUGGUCGAUAUUAUUGAGCCUAAAACGUCCGUAGCCGGUCUUUUAAAUCUUUGGGCAAAUCGGGCAGCUUAACUGUCCGACUUCCGAGGAGACUGGAAGACUUGGGACCGGGAGAGGUCAGAGGUACUUCUGGGGUAGGGGUAAAAUCCUGUAAUCCUGGAAGGACCACCGGUGGCGAAGGCGUCUGACUAGAACGGAUCCGACGGUGAGGGACGAAGCCCUGGGGCGCAAACGGGAUUAGAUACCCCCGUAGUCC